GAUGAAGAACGCAGCGAAAUGCGAUACGUAGUGUGAAUUGCAGAAUUCAGUGAAUCAUCGAAUCUUUGAACGCACAUUGCACCUCUCGGUAUUCCGGGAGGUAUGCCUGUUCGAGCGUCAUUUGUACCCUCAAGCUCUGCUUGGUGUUGGGUGUUUGUUCCGCCUCUGUGUGUGAACUCGCCUCAAAACAAUUGGCAGCCGGCGUACUUGUUUCGGAGCGCAGCACAUUUUGCUAUCCAGAUCAACGUACAGCGGCAUCCAAGAAGCCUUAUUUAACGCUCUUGACCUCGGAUCAGGUAGGGAUACCCGCUGAACUUAAGCAUAUCAAUAAGCGGAGGA
rnacentral:misc_RNA from 1 species